ensembl:lncRNA
UUUAGCCAGUUUGCAGACUUUGCUUAGCAGGUGCUCUAGGAGACUGAGGUAGCUCCAGGUAGUAAUUCACACUGCAGAAAAUUGGUCUCUUCUCUCCUUGCAUAGGUAAGUAAACUGAAAUGGUCUUUUCUAUUGGGGGAAGUGGGAGAACUGCAGGAACUGCAGCUUCCUUGUGAGUUUAAAGCAAAGGCACCCUGUUCAUCUACCUGUUUAGCUCCUUGCUGCUGAACUUCUGCUUUGAAAGUGAGACUGUACGUGUUUUGCACUUUAAACCUAGGUCUUUCUUGCUCCAAAAGUAAGUAAGAAAUUUACAGUCUUAUGUGGCUUCCACUCUGCUCUUCAGGAUGAAAAUAAUGGUAAUUCCUGGGAAGUUUCUGUGGUUGUAUUUAUUGUACCUCAAGAACUGGCCUAAAAUUGUCUUGAACUUUUGUAUCAGAGCUAAAGAAGGCAAGCAAGCUUCCAGUGAUUUCCAAUAAACUAAGAAUGCUGUAUAGAUGUUGGGAGGGAGGUAGAAGGAUAUGAAUGAAAUAGCAUGGUUCUCUUCUAACCUAAAAAUAAUACUACUACUGUGAACCUGUAAGCUAAAACUAAAUGGCUACAAAUGCCUUCCUUUGGCAGCAGCGUAUUUGUGCUGAGGAGCUGAGAUGGGAAACUGUUUCAAACUGUGACUCUGACUUGUUCUGUUUGAUCUGGCUUUGGUUGCUGUUUUGUUGCAGGAAGAUCCUGUACUGUGCUUGGAUGAUGCCAAAGACCAAACAGGAGAGAUCAGAGACUUCCCAGUUGCAGGUGAGCACUCUUUCUUUAAAAAGCUGUUAUGCAUCAUUGCAUUUGGAAAUCUGUGCUGAUUAUGUUCACCAAUGCCCUGCUGAGAGAGAGAGGGAUGUGCCACUUCCCAUGUUGCAUCGGACCACCAUGGUCAGCACUGCUAUCUGUAAGGAAUCUGGAGGCUCCCUUGUACGUGAGGUCUGUGCAGCCCUUUCCAGCAUCAGAAUGUCAAUGCUGCAUUUUGUUCUGCUGAGCUGAAGCACAGUCAAAGCAGCCAGAUGGUGUUCAAAACAGCACCAUCAGAACAACCAAGGUUCCGGGUACCUGUCUGGAAGAGAAGAACAACUACGUUCCCCAAGAGCCUUUUUGAGUACUGUUAUCAUUCCUGCUCAAGGGAACAGAUAUAAGGGCGCAGGUCAUCUGACUCGGCCCUCUUCUUUUCUUGCCGUGUUCCCUGUCGGAUCAGCUCGCUACUGCUGCUCCCGACUGCACGCAAGGCUUCAGUAUUAGCGUAAGGCCUUUGGCUCUCGGACAAUCUUUCUUUCAGUUAUUUUUGAUUUAUAUUGUAUUAUAGUGUGUUACCUUACAUUCUGAUACUAUAUUUAGUAAAUUAGUUUGUUUCUCCUCAGAUUGUUGCCGCUGUUUUUAAUUAUUUUGGGGUCCCCUGUUUCCCUUCCUGGAGGCGUGGAUUUUGCGAAAUCCCUCCGCCCCACUAGUCAUGGAACUGGGCCAGACCAGCCCUUAAACCAUUGACAAUUUCCCAGUCAGUCUUAUGUGACUGCAGGGUCCACCCAGGUCCAGCAGAGUAUCUCCGUGAUUAUCCCUUCUAACCAUAUGAUACCUAAGCCAGAAUUCCCAGCCCUGGUGAUGGUAUCUUUGCGUUGCAU